GAUGAACGCUGGCGGCGUGCUUAACACAUGCAAGUCGAACGGGCUUAGCAGAAAGCUUGCUUUUUGCAAAAGCUAGUGGCGAACGGGUGAGUAACACGUGGGCAACCUGCCCUACACACAGGAAUAACAAUGAGAAAUCAUUGCUAAUACCAGAUAAGCUUACACUAUCGCAUGGUAGAGUAGGAAAAGAUUUAUCGGUGUAGGAUGGGCCCGCGUCUGAUUAGCUAGUUGGUAAGGUAAUGGCUUACCAAGGCGACGAUCAGUAGCCGACUUGAGAGAGUGAUCGGCCACAUUGGGACUGAGACACGGCCCAAACUCCUACGGGAGGCGGCAGUGGGGAAUAUUGGACAAUGGGGGCAACCCUGAUCCAGCAAUACCGCGUGUGUGAAGAAGGCCCUA
rnacentral:rRNA from 2 species